GAGUUCGACAGGCCGACGAUGUAAGAGACUCUUUGACCGAAUGGACAUAAAACUUCCUCUUCUUACGAACAAGUUUGGUGGUGGUAACUGACCUUCAUAGCUAAAAUAGAAAACUGUUUGGGAAGUAUGAAAAGACAUUUCUUAUGCCUGUGAUGUUCAGCCUCCAUGAAUGUUGCUGUAAUUGUAAAUAAUGUCAAAUUCCAUUUUCUAGCAAGUAUUAAUUAUAUAAGAGAAUGUUGUCUGCAGUAGCCCUGUGUUGUCAGUCAUUUCUGUUGCCUUUUUUAUUUCUGUCUGGAAUGAGUUCACUGAAGAGCUCCUCAUGAUUAGUUAUGUUUACAGAAGCCAGCACACAACCGCAACGGCGUUUAAGCACAGGACCAUUCAUCUAUAUUUUUAAUAAAUGUACCAAUUAAGAAAAA